UGUUACAUGGCAAAUGCUUCACUGAG
rnacentral:piRNA from 1 species